AACGAACGCUGGCGGCAUGCCUAACACAUGCAAGUCGAACGAUUGCCUUCGGGUGAUAGUGGCGCACGGGUGCGUAACGCGUGGGAAUCUGCCCUUAGGUUCGGAAUAACAGCUGGAAACGGCUGCUAAUACCGGAUGAUAUCGCGAGAUCAAAGAUUUAUCGCCUGAGGAUGAGCCCGCGUUGGGUUAGGUAGUUGGUGGGGUAAAGGCCUACCAAGCCGACGAUCGAUAGCUGGUCUGAGAGGAUGAUCAGCCACACUGGGACUGAGACACGGCCCAGACUCCUACGGGAGGCAGCAGUGGGGAAUAUUGGACAAUGGGCGCAAGCCUGAUCCAACAAUGCCGCGUGAGUGAUGAAGGCCCUAGGGUUGUAAAGCUCUUUUACCCGGGAAGAUAAUGACUGUACCGGGAGAAUAAGCCCCGGCUAACUCCGUG
rnacentral:rRNA from 1 species